AACGCAUUCGUGACCCGACCGCGAGCUGAAACGCGCGCUAAAACAUAAUCGUGCCGCGCUGGGGUGGGGGGCACAGGGUACACGCUUGCGAAAUACGAGUAUUGGGGGCGCAAAUAAGACCGUAGAAGCUACUGAAAAUUUAGCGACGUGUUGCGGGAAAGUCGACGGCGCACGCUGCGGCGUACGUCGCUCGGCGGGCAACACCAACCGAAUCUGAUCACUGACCCAUGAAGCUUGCAGAAAGGAAAUUUUCUUCUUGCGAAGAAAAUACGACAAUAUAAAUAACUCCAUUGGCCCCUACCUACCACUACAUCACCCUAUGACAAAAGAGUUAUCGGUGCGUUGAAAACAAAAAUGGCGACUUGAUUUAUUGCGGAGGCUCGCGCAUUAGCCGAGCCGUUCGGGAUCGCUGCUCGGACCGAGAAAUUAAACGUCCACUUCUUUCUUAUGAGUCCUAGAAAUAUUUGUCCUAGAUGAAAAUACAAAAUAAUAUCUUCGUCAGACUUUUAACGAUCUACUUGGUUAAUGACUCGUAUUUCUGCAGCUUUCGCAUUUGAACAUAAGUUUCUGCUGUUGUGUGGGGAUUUAAUGCCGAUGUUA